rnacentral:rRNA from 1 species
GGUUCUCAAGAAAAGAAUUUCAGUCCAACCUAAAGUAACCCCAAACUAACUAAUUAAUUUUUCCCCCCCCCUUUAGAGCAAUUCAAACGAGGUACAGCCCAUUUGACACAGGAUACAACCUUUACUACUGGGUAAUAUUUAACUAACAUCGUUAAGUGGGCCUAACAGCAGCCAUCUUUCAAAAAGCGUCAAAGCUUAACCACAUCAUCUCAAUCUAAAAACUCACAUUGACCCCUUUAACUAUAUUGAGAGCUUCUAUACUCAUAUAGAACCCCUAAUGCUAAAACUAGUAACAAGAGUAAACCUCUCUCUUAAAUGCAAGUAUAAGCCAGCUAGGACCCGGCACUGGCACUUAAUAGACCUCAAGUAGUAACCCCACUAGAAAACUCUGCUUUACCCCAUCGUUAACCUAGUACCAGAGCAUUCCAAGAAAGAUUAAAAGAGAAAAAAGGAACUCGGCAAAUUCUAACCCCGCCUGUUUACCAAAAACAUCGCCUCUUGACCCCAUAAGAGGUCCAGCCUGCCCAGUGACUCUGUUCAACGGCCGCGGUAUCCUGACCGUGCAAAGGUAGCGCAAUCACUUGUCUUAUAAAUGAAGACUAGUAUGAAAGGCACCACGAGGACUAAACUGUCUCCUCUCUCUAAUCAGUAAACCUAAUCUCCCCGUGAAGAAGCGGGGAUCAAAAUAUAAGACGAGAGGGCGCUAAUUUCAGUACGAAAGGACCAAAAUAGCAUAGCCUAUGCCCAUGCAAGCUAUACUUAAUUAUUUCACGACUCCAUCUCAAAAAAUAACUAACCU